GUUGUCUUUCCACCGUGUUGUUUGGUGCCAUCGCCAGUGUGCGUGGGCAGAAGCCAGCCUUGCUCCAGAACUUUGAUCAGGAAAGCAGUGACUUUAAAAUGGGAGCAUCUAGAGGACAACACUUUAAACAAGUGAUCAGGUGAACAUCGUCAGUAACGGGAUACAGGGACGUGCUGAUAAGAACACAGCACCACUUCUGUGUUAUUCCUGUCAAAGAUGCAAAACCUGAAUCUAAUCAUGAGGAAACAAUAAACAAAUCCAAACUGAUGGAUAAUCUACGAAAUAACUCCCCUCAAUAAUGUCAUGUCAUGUAAUCUUUAAAAGUGUCCUUCCAUGAAAGUCAAGAAAAGACAAAAGACCUGCUAAAGAUACUUGACAAUGAGACGAAAUACGUGGAUCUGAACUGGAUCCUUUCGCUGGGAAGGACAUGACUGAGACAACUAGAGAACCUGGGCUCUGAGGAUUGAAUGGCAGCAAUGCAUCAAUGUCAUUUCCUGAUUGGGAUGGUUGUAGUGAUGUUGGAGAAUGUCCUUGUCGUAGGAAAUCCACACUAAAGUAUUCGGGGGCAAUGGACCAUCACACUGGCAACUAGUUUUAAAUGGUUUGGGAGGGGGAGUUAUUUGUACUAUACUUCCAAUUUUUCUGUAAGUUUUUAAAAUUAUAUGAUGAUACCUAUAGGUAGCAAAAAUCUCCAGCUUAAUACCAUGGGGAUAACAAGAAUUGCUGCACUCAUCCACACGGUUGGGAGAAAAGAAAGCACUCAUCUGUGCAGUUGAAAAUGUCUCUAGCAAUGGAAUUAAGCCUCCCCUGGAAUCUUAAAAGAUAAUCUUGUCUCAUUUUGAUAAGCACCCCUCUCCCAGAGAGGUCAGUUCACUAUUUUUCUCUGCAAACUCUGGUACUUAGUUUGGAAACCAUUCUUCGUUCAUUUGCAGAAUUCCAAGCCUCUUUCCAGAGGUAGCUCCCUUUCUGAGAGAAUGUCAGGAGUAGAGGUGAUACAUGUUGGAACCAUG
rnacentral:lncRNA from 1 species